UUUGUUGCUCUCCUUUUCUUUUCCUAGCUAAAAGGCUUAUUUUCGAGCCCAACUAAAUUAUUUUCGCCCAUGUACUACCCCAACCACAAUAUUUAUUCAAUAAACACAGCAUAAUAUAAAUACAGAGAGGCAUUAGUUUUUAGAGUUUCAGCCGCUUCUAGAGUAUUCAGCACUUCUCCCAAAAUUCUACCCUAAUUGCAUUACAGAUCCGCCGUUUCACUUUCCAGAUCCAAUCCUCCAAACAUAUUUCUCCACAGAGUCUACCUCACCUCAGUUUGUCUCCAAAUCUCAUCGUCAACAACCCUCCCCUCCAACUCCUCCAAUUUGCCACCGUCUUCUACCGUCACCUAACCCAACCUCUUCUCAAAUGUUCCUCUUCUCCCUCUCUCCAUAUUCCCCUUCCAUUCCCCCUCGUCUGUUUUUUUUUGGCAGAUUUGUGAAUAUCUGCACACGUCAAACAAAAAUAUCUUCAUUUUGUUGUAGAUUAGUUUUUCAUUUUUUUUGUGUUUAUGGCAUUAUUUUCGGUAGAUAUGUAUUUUAAAACAGAAGAUCUUUAUUUAUUUUUUCGAAUAUUUAUACUUCGUUUUUUAGUUUUUUUCAUUCUUUAGUUUUGUGUGUGUUUAUCUUAUAAUUUUCAUUGUCAUAGAUCUAAUAAUAUCUACACUAAUGGGUUCAUAAAAUAAUAAUUUUUUUAUACUGAGAUCUUUAUUUUUUUUUCGCUUAUACGUUUUUUGUUUUUUAGUUUUUCAUUUUUUAUUGUUUUUAUAGUAUCUUUAGGUUUUUUAGCAUAUUAUUUUUUUCGUUUUUUACUUUUUCAUUUUUUGUGUUUAUGGUAUCAUUUUUGUAGAUUUAUGAAUAUCUACACAAAUUGGUUCUUAAACCAACAAUUUUUGUUUUUGCAUAUAAGUUUUUUUUUAUACAGAGAACAUCUUUAUAUUUUUUCACAUAUUACUUUUGCAGAUCUAUGAACAUCUUUAUUUUUUUUCGCUUGUAGAUCUGCCAGUUUAUACACAAAUGGGUAUUAUUAAAUGAACAUAUUUUCAAUAAAGAUGAGUUGAACAUCUUUUCAAUUCCAGCGGCAGCCUUCUUCAUUGUCUGCAUCUUCCCUUUCUCCCUGGUAUUACAUCCCUCACUUUUGUAUUUGCUCAAGUUUAAAAAAAUGGUGCUUUUGCAGGGUGUAACCUCUCGGUGUAUCUGCAUUUCUAAAAAAGAUUUUUUUUCCAGAUUAGUUGAGGAAUAUCUUUAUUUUUUUACACAUUAGUUUCACUGAAUGGAUGUAAAUAUCCAACAAACUUUUUGAUAUGAUUAUGCACUGGUAAUCACAAGACUGUGGCCGAAAAUUCCUCAGCUUCAUCUCCCUUGACUAAGUGAAAAAGAAAAGUGGAAUAAGAUUCGAAAGGCAAAACUUCCAUGCUCCAGAUUCAACUCUUCAUCUGUGUAGCUCCAGAUUCUUUUGCAGAUUCGAAAUGCAAAACUUCCAUGCUCCAGAUGCAACUCCAGAUUCAGAAAUAUUAUCUAUAAAAUAGAAAAAAUAUUGUAAUAAUUGGUUAGUAUUUGAGUUGUAAUUGAGACUAAUAGUGAAUAUGAAAAAAACUACAGAAA